UAGGGAAUCUUCCGCAAUGGGCGAAAGCUUGACGGAGCAACGCCGCGUGAGUGAUGAAGGUCUUCGGAUCGUAAAACUCUGUUAUUAGGGAAGAACAAAUGUGUAAGUAACUAUGCACGUCUUGACGGUACCUAAUCAGAAAGCCACGGCUAACUACGUGCCAGCAGCCGCGGUAAUACGUAGGUGGCAAGCGUUAUCCGGAAUUAUUGGGCGUAAAGCGCGCGUAGGCGGUUUUUUAAGUCUGAUGUGAAAGCCCACGGCUCAACCGUGGAGGGUCAUUGGAAACUGGAAAACUUGAGUACAGAAGAGGAAAGUGGAAUUCCAUGUGUAGCGGUGAAAUGCGCAGAGAUAUGGAGGAACACCAGUGGCGAAGGCGACUUUCUGGUCUGUAACUGACGCUGAUGUGCGAAAGCGUGGGGAUCAAACAGG
rnacentral:rRNA from 1 species